rnacentral:rRNA from 1 species
UACGGAGGGUGCAACGUUGCUCGGAAUCAUUGGGCGUAAAGGGCGCGUAGGCGGUUUGUUAAGUCGGCUGUGAAAGCCCGGGGCUCAACCCCGGAGGGUCAGGCCGAUACUGGCAGACUAGAGUACGGAAGAGGUAGCUGGAAUUCCCGGUGUAGCGGUGAAAUGCGUAGAGUAGUACGGGAGGAACACCUGAGGCGAAGGCGGGCUACUGGGGCC